ACUGAAAAGACUCCCUGGAUUUUCGUCCUUUUUUUUCAGUUAUCUUUCUAAUAUGGUGAAUCUGCCAAACUGAAUCCCACUCCACCUGCCAGCUAAGGGGCGGAGACUAUAAAUAGCCUGCUCACCCUUUAGUUCAUCCUUUGCACUCCCUGCCAGCACACCAAUUUAACCCUGUGUCCUGAGUUUCCUCCACAUAUCCUGAAGUGUGCGUCUUCAAGUUAACCACACAAAAUAAUCAAGACCAAAAGGGAAAAUAAAUACUGGUUCUUGCAUUAAA